rnacentral:rRNA from 1 species
CAGUCGAGCGAGCUUGCCUAGAUGAUUUUAGUGCUUGCACUAAAUGAAACUAUAUACAAGCGAGCGGCGGACGGGUGAGUAACACGUGGGUAACCUGCCCAAGAGACUGGGAUAACACCUGGAAACAGAUGCUAAUACCGGAUAACAACACUAGACGCAUGUCUAGAGUUUGAAAGAUGGUUCUGCUAUCACUCUUGGAUGGACCUGCGGUGCAUUGGCUAGUUGGUAAGGUAACGGCUUACCAAGGCAAUGAUGCAUAGCCGAGUUGAGAGACUGAUCGGCCACAUUGGGACUGAGACACGGCCCAAACUCCUACGGGAGGCAGCAGUAGGGAAUCUUCCACAAUGGACGAAAGUCUGAUGGAGCAACGCCGCGUGAGUGAAGAAGGGUUUCGGCUCGUAAAGCUCUGUUGGUAGUGAAGAAAGAUAGAGGUAGUAACUGGCCUUUAUUUGACGGUAAUUACUUAGAAAGUCACGGCUAACUACGUGCCAGCAGCCGCGGUAAUACGUAGGUGGCAAGCGUUGUCCGGAUUUAUUGGGCGUAAAGCGAGUGCAGGCGGUUCAAUAAGUCUGAUGUGAAAGCCUUCGGCUCAACCGGAGAAUUGCAUCAGAAACUGUUGAACUUGAGUGCAGAAGAGGAGAGUGGAACUCCAUGUGUAGCGGUGGAAUGCGUAGAUAUAUGGAAGAACACCAGUGGCGAAGGCGGCUCUCUGGUCUG